rnacentral:rRNA from 1 species
AUUGAACGCUGGCGGCAUGCUUUACACAUGCAAGUCGAACGGUAACAGGCCUUCGGGUGCUGACGAGUGGCGAACGGGUGAGUAAUGCAUCGGAACGUACCCAGAGGUGGGGGAUAACGCAGCGAAAGCUGUGCUAAUACUGCAUGUGAUCUGAGGAUGAAAGCGGGGGACCGAGCAGCAAUGUUUGGCCUCGCGCCUUUGGAGCGGCCGAUGUCGGAUUAGCUAGUUGGUGGGGUAAAGGCCUACCAAGGCGACGAUCCGUAGCUGGUCUGAGAGGACGACCAGCCACACUGGGACUGAGACACGGACCAGACUCCUACGGGAGGCAGCAGUGGGGAAUUUUGGACAAUGGGCGCAAGCCUGAUCCAGCAAUGCCGCGUGCGGGAAGAAGGCCUUCGGGUUGUAAACCGCUUUUGGCAGGAACGAAACGGUGUCCGCUAAUACCGGGCGCUAAUGACGGUACCUGCAGAAUAAGCACCGGCUAACUACGUG